CAGAGUGCGGCACCAGGGGGCAGCGCGCGCUGCGCGUCCGUUGAAGGAGUGGCGGACGGAGCUGAACAUGUGUAGUCAGCCGGCAUUUUUCGAGUCGUGUUGUAAAUGUUGUUAAUUCGCCGUAAAUAUCUCUUGAUUUGUGCUCAAGAGUGGAGCAAGACCCCAAGGAAGAGAUAUUGACGCAUCGGGAGCGAAGAACAGCAACGAUGGAUGGUUACGCUGCUUGGGUCUCGGCACGUUCGAACUGGCAAAGUUCCGAAUUUGUCGCUGUGUUGUGUACGCUUGUGCGCUCAUCAUUUGCCGUCAUCGCGCGGAGAUAUUUGCGCUGGAUGUCUUUCACUUCGUGUACAAAACUCUGCACGCUGCGGCAUCGAAGAAGUUGUCCUGUGUUUGGGUGCACGUAUGCGCUUGGACACGGAUAGCCUGCUUGCUCUCAACGGGUGUUCAACAGUCUACGCGCGCUCGUAACUUCCUCAUGAGGCAAGUUGCUGUUGUGCUGGAGCUGAGAAGAGGUCUGCUGCCUGCAAUGGGUCCAUCUCUCUCAAGGUAUUGCAGUAGUAUAGCUCUCAAGGUUCAAAAAAAGUAUGGUGGAAGCUGUUGCCAAGGUUCCGACCAGAAAAGACAGCCAGUAUAAAAGGGUCCACGCCACUGAUCUCUACUACAGGGGAUGAACAGCACAUCGAGCGCCCUCGACUGAAGCCGGCCUUGUCCUAGAAGUUGGUGCUUCACAACUUUGCGGCAGCACUUUGUUGCACGGCCUGUGGAGACAAGGUUUCUUAGACAUGGCCAUGGCCCUCAAGGAAGAUGCCGAGGCCACAGGCAGUUCCUCCAGUGACCGUGAAAAGGUCCCCUGGGGCACAAGUCUGGUUUGGCACCCCCGCCUUUCUCCUGCAGCUUUUCUGUCUACUUAGCUAACCAGGUGGGUCAAUGAUGGCAAAGGGAAAAAACAAUCAACAGCAUCAAAUGCAGAACUUGCUCAAGCUCAAUGCAUUUUUGGUGUGGUUUUUCCCUUAUCAUUUAUCAAAAAACGGGUAAUAAGUAUAUGAUAUGGUCUUCAUACGGACACCUCUUUCCCACAGAGAAUUAGCAGUAAAAAAAGCAGCUUAUGAAGGCUUGAAUAUUAGCUAGGAUGAUGUGGCAUAGAUAGGGUAAUGAUUAUGAAUGUUUCUAAUGAAGGUAGUGGUGGUAGAGUGAAUAAUCAUAGUUUAUAUAUAGAUUGAAAGACAUUUCGUUCCAAUGCCAGAAUUUUAAAUCAUCCCAAAUAAUCCUUGCAUUUUAUAGUCUUCAUUUUAUAGUUCUUGAUGCUUGCUUCUUGCGGACAUCAUUCUUAUGCUGCAUAAGUCACCUGUUAUAAAUUCCCUAUUUCUCCCGUUCAAGCAACUUCCAGAAACUUGCUGAUGAGAUUAGGGGGCGGCGUGCACCCAAGGCUGAGAUAUGCAUUCAAGAGCCUCAUAUCUUGCAAAUGUUAGAAAUACUCCUGCUAAGCAAGUUCUUGGUGUCAUACAAGGUUAUUUGCGAAUACGAAUUUGCCUAAAUUUAGAAAGCAGUCAAUAUAAAACAUGUCAAGCGAUAUCGCUGACGAUACACACACAUUCCCACUGAACUAAAUACAAAUAAACAUAGCACCAAAUGCAGAAUCAUUGGCAUGAUGCCAUUCUUUCAGUGGAAUAAAAUCUGUCCUGCAUUGUAAAUCUGGAAUCCUUUAUAAUCCAGAAUACUAAAUACUUAUGAGGGUUGUAACGUAAAAUAUGCAUGUAUUUAUUCCUCGUUUUUUUACUUUAGGAUCCGAUAAUGCUUAAACAGCAGUGAAAGAACUGAGAUCACAGUACCUAAUACUUUAUAUUGCUCCAGAAAUCCGUUUCUCUGCCGAUCGCAGCAUUAGACUCUAACAAAAAGGCACAUAACACUUAGGGUGGUGCUAUUCACUUUGAUUGUUUGGGAACGAAACCCAUAAUGUACAUGUUAUGGCCCUACGUGUCAUUACGUUUGAACAACAAAAAGGUAGGGGGUUUGCGUUUUGCAAAACUGCAUGGAAGUUUUCACUGUGUGCAAUUAAAAUUAGGAACCUUCCCAGCUCAUACUAAAUGCAUUCUCCAAAGCUUUAGGUUAUACAGGUGCACUACUUUACACAGAACACACUCUUUUCCCUCGUCACGGCUCACACUCUUAGGCAGAGUUACAACCUUUGAAGUGCC